rnacentral:rRNA from 1 species
CAGCAGCCGCGGUAAUACGGAGGGAGCUAGCGUUGUUCGGAAUUACUGGGCGUAAAGCGCACGUAGGCGGUUAUUCAAGUCAGAGGUGAAAGCCCGGGGCUCAACCCCGGAACUGCCUUUGAAACUAGAUGACUGGAAUCUUGGAGAGGUCAGUGGAAUUCCGAGUGUAGAGGUGAAAUUCGUAGAUAUUCGGAAGAACACCAGUGGCGAAGGCAACUGACUGGACAAGUAUUGACGCUGAGGUGCGAAAGCGUGGGGAGCAAACAGGAUUAGAUACCCCCGUAGUCCCUGUCUCUUAUAC